AACUUGAGAUGUAAACUUCAUUUAAUUACAACAAUUAAAAAAAAGCAAGCUAAUAGUAGCUCAAAAGAUUUCACCUCUGGAACGAUAGUGAGUGUCAAUCCCUAGUGGCGUAUUUUCUCCUAACUGGUGAGAGAAAAAGGUUAUGGUAUUUUCUUGCCAUUGAUUUAUAAAGAACAACAAACAACCUGUUGCCAUACAGUCGAUUCCGACCCAUAGCGACCUUAUACGACAGAGUAGAACUGCCCCAUAGGGUUUCCAAGGAGUGGCUGGUGGAUUCAAACUACCGACCUUUUGAUUAGCAGCCGUAUGGACCCUCUUAAUAAUAGAAUUGGUUUUGGCACGGCAGUCUUUUGUACUUAGUAGAUUUAGUAGAUAUGUGGUGCUGAGUUCUUCUUUAAAAAAAUUGCCUUUAAAUUUGGAUGUAACUAACCUUUUAUCUCAACUCUUUACCAGGUACCAUAAAAGACACUUUAACAUUCAGUAUUUGAUUUUAAUCUAGGUGCAAUAAGUAAUUCAGAGCUAGAAAAGGUAACAUUUUCUUCAGAAAGGUAGUAGUUGUCUGGAUGUAAUUAUUGAAUACUUUAAUUCUGAUAUCAACAGUAAUCAUCGUUCAACUUUGUAUGACAAUGAAUCUGUUUUCCAGCUGAAAAUGUGUUUCUAAAAUGCAACUUCAGCAUAGCAGGAAUCUUUGGACUGCCUUGCCUUGUUCUCUAUACGUGGAUCAUGAAGGUAUUAGGAAAAACAAAUCUCUGGAUAUUGUUCUCAUUACUUCAUUUGAUAGCAAAUGCUGCAGAACAUGAAGAGGUAGCAAAGCAUGCAAUCAAGUUACAUCGAGGAAAAGGAGCAGCUAUCGCUCAGAGAAAACAUUGGGUCCUUGAGAACUGUAGAAAGCUGUCUGGGCUUCUUCGCCAAAAGAAUGUGGUACUUAACAAACUGAAAAAUGCCAUCAGAGCAGUGGAAAAAGACGUUGGACUCUCAGAUGAAGAGAAAUUGUUUCAGGUGCACACGUUUGAGAUUUUUCAAAAGGAGCUGAAUGAAAGUGAAAACUCAGUCUUUCAGGCUAUCCAUGGACUCCAGCGAGCCCUGCAGGGAGAUUAUAAAGAUGUUGUAAACAUGAAAGAAAGUAGCAGGCAGCGGCUGGAGGCUCUGAGAGAAGCUGCAAUAAAGGAAGAGACAGAAUAUGUGGAACUUCUGGCAGCAGAAAAACAUCAGGUUGAAGCCCUUAAAAAUAUGCAACAUCAAAACAAAAGUUUAUCCAUCCUUGAUGAAAUUCUUGAAGAUGUAAGAAAGGCAGCAGAUCGUUUAGAGGAGGAGAUAGAAGAACAUGCUUUUGAUGACAAUAAAUCAGUAAAAGGAGUAAAUUUUGAGGCAGUUCUCAGAGUGGAAGAAGAAGAGGCCAAUUCCAAGAAAAACAUAACAAAACGAGAAGUGGAAGAUGAUUUAGGUCUUAGUAUGCUAAUUGACUCCCAAAAUAACCAGUAUAUUUUGACCAAGCCCAGAGAUUCAACAAUCCCACGUGCAGAUCAUCACUUCAUAAAGGACAUUGUUACCAUAGGAAUGUUGUCUUUACCUUGUGGCUGGUUAUGCACAACAAUAGGAUUGCCUACAAUGUUUGGUUAUAUUAUUUGUGGUGUACUUCUUGGACCAUCAGGACUAAACAGUAUUAAGUCUAUUGUACAAGUGGAGACAUUAGGAGAAUUUGGUGUGUUCUUUACUCUUUUUCUUGUUGGCCUAGAAUUUUCCCCAGAAAAGCUGAGAAAGGUAUGGAAGAUAUCCUUACAAGGACCAUGUUAUAUGACCCUAUUAAUGAUUGGAUUUGGCUUAUUGUGGGGACACUUCUUACAGAUCAGAGCCACUCAAAGUGUCUUCAUUUCUACUUGUUUAUCCUUAUCAAGCACACCCUUAGUGUCCAGAUUCCUUGUGGGUAGUGCUCGAGGUGAUAAAGAAGGUGACAUUGACUACAGCACCGUGCUGCUUGGCAUGCUAGUGAUGCAAGAUGUACAACUUGGAUUAUUCAUAGCUGUUAUGCCAACUCUUAUACAAGCAGGAGCAGGUACAUAUUCUAGCAUUUUCAUGGAAAUACUGAGAAUACUGGUUUUGAUUGGUCAAAUUCUCUUUUCACUAGCAGCUGUUUUUCUUUUAUGUCUUGUUAUAAAGACUUAUCUCAUGGGACCAUAUUAUCGAAAGCUUCAUAUGGAAAGCAAAGGGAACAAAGAAAUCCUAAUUUUAGGAAUAUCUGCUUUCAUCUUUAUAAUGUUAACGAUCACAGAGCUGUUAGAUGUUUCCAUGGAGCUGGGCUGUUUCUUGGCUGGAGCACUGAUCUCUUCUCAAGGCCACAUGGUUACUGAAGAGAUUAUGUCUUAUAUUGAACCUAUUCGUGAUUUUCUGGCUAUCAUUUUCUUUGCAUCAAUAGGGCUUCAUGUUUUCCCAACUUUUGUAAUAUAUGAACUCACUGUCUUGAUGUUCCUUACUUUGUCAGUGGUGGUCCUGAAGUUUGUUUUGGCAGUGCUAGUCUUGUCUCUCAUUUUGCCAAAGAGCAGCCAGUAUAUCAAAUGGAUUGUCUCCGCUGGGCUGGCCCAAGUCAGUGAGUUUUCUUUUGUUCUGGGAAGUAGAGCACGAAGAGCGGGAAUCAUUUCUCGGGAGGUCUACCUCCUUAUAUUAAGUGUGACUACUCUUAGUCUUUUACUUGCUCCAGUAUUGUGGAAAGCUGCAAUUAUGAAAUGUGUACCAAGACCAGAAAGACGAUCAAGUAUCUGACAGACUCAAUAACACUGAAAUAAUAAACAAUUUUGAAAAAAAGGGGAAAAAAAGCAAACCUCUGUACAAGAAAGCAGAAAUCCAGACAGUUGCAUAAUUAUACAUUCCUAUAAGCCUUAUACAUUGGGAACAAAAUAACACUAUAAUAAGGGUUGAUGUCUUCAUAUUUGCCCAGCUUUUACAGAAUAUCUUUUGUCAUAUUCUACAAUCUUUCAGAGUGAUUUACAUGGAGUCAGUUGAUUAUGCACAGUAGAGAUGUAACAUUGCAUUUUACAUAUCGCCUUGACUAUUUUGCCUGGAUGUGCCUUUUUUUCUGAAAUUAAUGUUAACUAUCUAUGGUUACUUCGUCAGUUCAUGAUUUUUUUGGAAGAAGGAAAAAUUAGAAAGCCUUUUAAUUUAUUGGGCAACUUUAGAGUUGUAAUCUGUCAAAUAUAUGUUAUUAAGCAUUUCUGUGAUGUGAAAUUUUAGUUCUGGCAAUGAGUUUGGAAGCUUACUUUUAAUCCUUAAAACCUAUGUUUUCUAAAAUGAAAUGAAUAUCUUACAGAGGUCUAUUAGCCUUUUAUUAUAACAAUUUUAAAUAUAACAGUUUCAUGUCUGUUUUUAUUAAGUAUAUCGUUCUUUUAAAAUACUUGGCUUUAGAUGACAAGAAUAUGCAUUCUUUAAUAAAGAUAAUUUAUGAUCAGGGUAUAUUAAUUGAAAAUCUGGGUUUUUUUAAGUUUUUGUCUUGAGCUAAUCUUUGCACAAAAUAUCAACCGAUUUUUUUAAGAUGAUUUAUAUAUUACCAUAUUAUUCUCCAAGAGACCAAAUCAAUGCAGUGCUAUUGAAAAAACCUAAGUUCUAACUUUGAUAUUUAGAAUAUGUAUUGUGGCUAACGUAUGCCCCAUUUUAGAAAGCCGCACAGGGGCAAGUUAAAAUGUUAGAUAUAGUUAGGAAUGGCAGAUUAAUCAGUAAUAUAAAUUAAAACGUGUUGAAGUACAUUGAAGUAAAUUUCAUCUAGUCUGGAGUCAAUGAGUGGAGAAAUCAUUUUAUAAACGUGUUUACUUUUAGAAAAAAGAAAGCAUUGGUUUUAGUCAUUUCUAAAUUACAUCAAAUUGUCUGACACCAUCAGGAACGGAUUUCCUAAUAAGCAAGGUAAGUACCUGCUUAGGGCAUUAACAAAACAGGGGCACCACUUGUCAAAGCCAAGACCCAUAGAUGCCAAGCAGACAGGACACAAGGAAGAAUGAGCACUGCAGUGGAAGGGAACUGACAGGAAACUAAAUGAAGCUGAAACCAUUUUAUAAAUUUUGUAUACAAUAACAAAUUAUACUUUCCUUUUCAUUUUGGACCAAUCGAGUAUAACCUCACAUUCAGUUCUCUCUCAUCAACCACAUAAGAACGCUCCAUGGACACUAUAAUCACAGGACUCAACAUAUCUGGUCCUGCGCAAAGCUAACCAAAUCUUCAGAUUAAGCAUACCCUUGUAUUUCUAUCCUGCUCUUUGCGAUUGUCCCGCCCUCGUUGGCUAUCAGCAGUAGUCCAGUGAACUGUGAAGAUGCAGCAUCAAAGGACGGAAAGUGAGGACGCAAGUUUUUAAGUAUUAUUUCAAGACAUAAAACACUCGUGGAGAUCUGCAAAGGGCCCACCAGUGAAUAUUGUACGACAGACCAGUGAAAUUAUUUCCAACUGCCUUGUAAAAUGAAACAACAAUAACUAAGUGGAGCACAAAAACGAAAGCUCACAGAAGAUAAAAAGAAAAGAAUUUGUCAAUCUCUGAAGACAGUUCCAAAAUUAACUUACUUUUUAAAAUGUAAUGAAUCAGAAGGGACUUCUUCCAGUGAACACUCGAGUUUAAUGGGUACAGAUAAUUAUAUUAGUACCACUAGUGCUGAAAAUACUGAUAGCAAUACAUAUAUAACAGAACUUCUUCCAAAUUCUGCAUCCAUUCCGUACUGUAGUAAAAAAAAUUAAUAAUGGUGUAGAAAGUGAAACUGUUUUAGUAUCUGAAAUUGUUGCAUCUGUAGACCCCAUAAAUAAGAGAAAUACAGAUCCUGCUUUGUGGAAUAGUUUUUCUUCCAACGAUGUAAAUUAUUGGAUCAAAAGAGGGCCAAGUGAUUGUCAACAUCACAGUGGACCAUUUGAAAAUUCAUGUUGAAAAUUUCGGGAUGGUAAACAAACAAGGUUCUGUAGCCAGAAUAUAUUUCUAGGGGGCAAAGCUAAUGAUAAAAAUUAUAAGAGGCAGUUGCUGCUGUAUUCUCCAUGAGUUGAUUCUGUAUAUUGUUUUGUUUGCAGACUAUUCCGUCCUAAAUCAUUUAAUUCUUUAUUUGCUAUGGAUGGAUUUAGCCAUUGGUGCAACUCUAAUAUGAUUGAUAAACAUGAAAACAGUUCAAUACACAGAGAUUGUAUGUUAUCAUAUUUAAACCAAAGACAUGGUUUUGGCUUAAUUGAUGAACUGGAAACACAAAUUAAUGAAGAACAUCAGUAUUAGAAAGCCGUUUUGCAACACAUUGCUGUCGUUACAACAAUCGCUAAAUGUGGACUGUGUUUUCGAGGAGAAGUGAAGUGCUUGGGUCCCCACAAAAUGGAAAUAUUUUGGGUUUACUUGAACUUGUUGCUCACUUUGAUCCAUUUUUUAACAGGUCACAUCUCAAAAUAUGGCAACAGAGGAAAGGGCAACCCAGUGUUAAUGUCUUAAACAACGGGUGAAGAAUUAAUAAACUUAGUAAGUGCUAAAGUUUGAUCAACUAUUUUCAGUGAAAUAAAGAUAGCUUGAUAUUUCAGAUUGUCUGUAGAUUCUACUCCUAACCUUUCUCAUACAGAUCAGCUAAGUAUUGUUUUAAGAUAUGUAUCUUCAACAGAUGGAAAACCUGUUGAUCGAUUUAUCACAGUUACUAGUUUAAGAAGUCAUACCAGUGAAGCAAUUGCAAAUCAGGUGCUUCACUAUUUAUGUGAAGUUUGCAAAAUUGAGUCUCCUAAGUGCACAGGCCAGUCCUAUAACAAUGUUGCCGGUAUAUCAGGGUGUUAUAAAGAUGUGCAACAUGAAAUUUUAGAAGGUAAGGAAUAUGCCAUUUUCAUACCAUGUGCUAUGUAUUCACUUAAUCUUGUAGGACAUAGCACAGUAGAUUGUUGUCUGGAAGCAGUUGAUUUUUUUUCUACUGUUCAGUUACUGUACACAUUUUUGCCACCUCUACUCACCGAUGGGCAGUUCUUAAAACAUAUUUAGGCAGUGAUCAAGUAUUAAAGUGUCUUUCUAAUACACAUUGGGAAGCAUAUGCUAUAGCAGUGAGUGCGAUCCUGGAAUCAUACGCUCAGAUUCUAGAUGCCUUAGAAAAUAUUGCUGAAGACCAGGCACAAAAAGGAGAUACCAGAAGAGAAGCUGAAAACAUUGCCAACAAAAUGCAGACACUGGAGUAUGUAUUUAU